rnacentral:rRNA from 1 species
UUCAGCAGCCAUAUCACCCUGUAACUCACAACUGGCAACCCACUGAAGAUCAGCAGGUGUGAGCCUGAUCAGUACCUGGAUGGAAGACCUCCAGGGAAAAACUAGUUUUACUGCUGGAA